rnacentral:rRNA from 1 species
AUUUUAGAGUGUUUGAUCCUGGCUCAGGAGGAACGCUGGCGGCGUGCCUAACACAUGCAAGUCGAACGGAACUGCACAUUGAAGAUUUCUUCGGAAUGAUUCUGGUGUAGUUUAGUGGCGGACGGGUGAGUAACGCGUGAGUAACCUGCCCUUCAGAGGGGGAUAACGUUCUGAAAAGAACGCUAAUACCGCAUAACAUUAUCAUAUCGCAUGGUAAGAUAAUCAAAACUGAGGUGCUGAAGGAUGGACUCGCGUCCGAUUAGAUAGUAGGUGAGGUAACGGCCCACCUAGUCGACGAUCGGUAGCCGACCUGAGAGGGU